AUGUUCACUGUUAUACUGAUGUGCCUGUGGCUUUCACUAAGUGACUCCAUGGCAGAUCCAAUAAAGCCACUUUUCACUCAUAAAGUUGUAGAUGAAGGUGAUGAUGUUACUCUGUCCUGCAGCUACAAAGGCUUCAGUGGUGUUGUACAGAGUCUGUUCUGGUACAAACAAUAUCCAAAAUCUAAUCCUGAGCUUCUUCUUUACAUCCUGCCAAGUGGAGAUAAAAGUAACCCUCUUCCACCACGUCUGGAUGCUAAGGUUGAUGAUAAAGAUAAAAAACAAGUGGAUCUGAUCAUCUCCUCUGCUGCUGUAUCAGACUCUGCUCUAUACUACUGUGCUCUGGUGCCCACAGUGACAGGAAACCCAGCUGCACUGUACAUAAACUACCACACAAUGCUGUCAUCUGCCCCUGUAAACAAGACACUCACCAUACCCUCAGCAGGGGAUACAGCUAGAGACAUGUUGCGCUGCAGCAGGUUUUGGAGUGUUCAUCAGCUCUUGGACUGCUGA